AAACCGUCGAAAGGGAAGCGAAUGGAGUUAGCAAUUCGCCCUGUCAGAUUCAGCCGCUCGUGCUUCGCGACGUGCGCGCUCUCGAUCCGCAUGGACGAGACGUGCACGGGCGCGACGUGCGGACGGCGCACUUCUGGCGGGUGAGCGUCAGCGUCGGUUGCCGCCGGGCGACAAGGUCGCGGGAAAGGUGAGCCGGUCCUCGGACCUGCCGUUACAGUCCCGCGUUCGCAUGGCCCGGAGGCGACCGUGGCUCUCGGAGGCGACGCGUGCUCGGCUGGCGACUCGAUCGAUCGGUCCGACAUGUCGACCGUGGCGGACGGCACGCCUGUGCGCUCGAACUGCUGUCGUCCGAUCGAGCGGUGUUCGCACACAACGCGUCGAAGGCGCUGACGGCCAUACGGCUCCAUCCGACCCGUCUUGAAACACGGACCAAGGAGUCUAACAUGUGCGCGAGUCUCCGGGUGAUCGAAACCCGUGGGCGCAAUGAAAGUAAAGGUCGUCUCGGACGACUGAGGUGAGAAGCGUGCGUGUCGCCCUCCCUUCGGGGCUGGGUGGCAUUGCGCCGCAUCAUCGACCGACCUCUUCUGCUCUCAGGAAGGUUUGAGUAAGAGCGCACCUGUUGGGACCCGAAAGAUGGUGAACUAUGCCUGAAUAGGGUGAAGCCAGCGGAAACACUGGUGGAGGCUCGUAGCGAUUCUGACGUGCAAAUCGAUCGUCGAAUUUGGGUAUAGCGGCGAAAGACUAAUCGAACCAUCUAGUAGCUGGUUCCCUCCGAAG
rnacentral:rRNA from 1 species